CCUANGGGGGGCAGCAGUAGGGAAUUUUCCACAAUGGGCGAGAGCCUGAUGGAGCAACGCCGCGUGCAGGAUGAAUGCCUUAGGGUUGUAAACUGCUUUUGUCUGUGAAGAUUAUGACGGUAGCAGACGAAUAAGGACCGGCUAACUACGUGCCAGCAGCCGCGGUCAUACGUAGGGUCCAAGCGUUAUCCGGAAUUACUGGGCGUAAAGAGUUGCGUAGGUGGCAGAGUAAGUAGGUAGUGAAAUCGUGUGGCUCAACCAUACACCCAUUACCUAAACUGCUCCGCUAGAAGAUGAGAGAGGUCGCUAGAAUUCCUAGUGUAGGAGUGAAAUCCGUAGAUAUUAGGAGGAAUACCGAUGGCGUAGGCAGGCGACUGGCUCAUUCUUGACACUAAGGCACGAAAGCGUGGGUAGCAAACGGGAUUAGAUACCCGANUANUC
rnacentral:rRNA from 1 species